rnacentral:rRNA from 1 species
GACGAACGCUGGCGGCGUGCUUAACACAUGCAAGUCGAACGGAAAGACCCUGCGUUUGUUGCGUUCUCGAUUGGCGCACGCGGGAGUAACACGUGAGUAACCUGCCCUUGACUGUGGGAUAUCUUCAGGAAACUGGGGCUCAUACAGGAUAUGAUCUCCUGCUGCAUGGUGGUGGUUGGAAAAUUUCGGCUGUUGGGUAUGGUCUCGCUGCUUAUGAGCUUGAUUGUCGGGUUGGUGCUGACCAAGGCUUUGACGGCUAGCCGGCCUAAGAGGGGGAACGGCCACAUUGGGACUGAGAUACGGACCAGAAUCCUACGGGAGGCAGCAGUGGGGAAUAUUGCACAGUGGGCGGAAGCGUGAUGCAGAGACGCCGCGUGCGGGAUGACGGCCUUCGGGUUGUAAACCGCUUUCGCCUGUGACGAAGAGUGAGUGACGGUAAUGGGUAAAGAAGCAACGGCUAACUACGUG